rnacentral:rRNA from 1 species
CAGCAGCCGCGGUAAUACGAAGGGGGCUAGCGUUGCUCGGAAUGACUGGGCGUAAAGCGUGCGUAGGCGGCUUCUUAAGUCGGAUGUGAAAUCCCUGAGCUUAACUUAGGAAUUGCAUUCGAUACUGGGAAGCUAGAGUAUGGGAGAGGAUGGUAGAAUUCCAGGUGUAGCGGUGAAAUGCGUAGAGAUCUGGAGGAAUACCGAUGGCGAAGGCAGCCAUCUGGCCUAAUACUGACGCUGAGGUACGAAAGCAUGGGGAGCAAACAGGAUUAGAGACCCCAGUAGUCCCUGUCUCUUAUAC